rnacentral:rRNA from 1 species
GAUGAACGCUGGCGGCGUGCCUAAUACAUGCAAGUCGAGCGAACGGACGAGAAGCUUGCUUUUCUGAUGUUAGCGGCGGACGGGUGAGUAACACGUGGGUAACCUACCUAUAAGACUGGGAUAACUUCGGGAAACCGGAGCUAAUACCGGAUAAUAUUUUGAACCGCAUGGUUCAAAAGUGAAAGACGGUCUUGCUGUCACUUAUAGAUGGAUCCGCGCUGCAUUAGCUAGUUGGUAAGGUAACGGCUUACCAAGGCAACGAUGCAUAGCCGACCUGAGAGGGUGAUCGGCCACACUGGAACUGAGACACGGUCCAGACUCCUACGGGAGGCAGCAGUAGGGAAUCUUCCGCAAUGGGCGAAAGCCUGACGGAGCAACGCCGCGUGAGUGAUGAAGGUCUUCGGAUCGUAAAACUCUGUUAUUAGGGAAGAACAUAUGUGUAAGUAACUGUGCACAUCUUGACGGUACCUAAUCAGAAAGCCACGGCUAACUACGUGCCAGCAGCCGCGGUAAUACGUAGGUGGCAAGCGUUAUCCGGAAUUAUUGGGCGUAAAGCGCGCGUAGGCGGUUUUUUAAGUCUGAUGUGAAAGCCCACGGCUCAACCGUGGAGGGUCAUUGGAAACUGGAAAACUUGAGUGCAGAAGAGGAAAGUGGAAUUCCAUGUGUAGCGGUGAAAUGCGCAGAGAUAUGGAGGAACACCAGUGGCGAAGGCGACUUUCUGGUCUGUAACUGACGCUGAUGUGCGAAAGCGUGGGGAUCAAACAGGAUUAGAUACCCUGGUAGUCCACGCCGUAAACGAUGAGUGCUAAGUGUUAGGGGGUUUCCGCCCCUUAGUGCUGCAGCUAACGCAUUAAGCACUCCGCCUGGGGAGUACGACCGCAAGGUUGAAACUCAAAGGAAUUGACGGGGACCCGCACAAGCGGUGGAGCAUGUGGUUUAAUUCGAAGCAACGCGAAGAACCUUACCAAAUCUUGACAUCCUUUGACAACUCUAGAGAUAGAGCCUUCCCCUUCGGGGGACAAAGUGACAGGUGGUGCAUGGUUGUCGUCAGCUCGUGUCGUGAGAUGUUGGGUUAAGUCCCGCAACGAGCGCAACCCUUAAGCUUAGUUGCCAUCAUUAAGUUGGGCACUCUAAGUUGACUGCCGGUGACAAACCGGAGGAAGGUGGGGAUGACGUCAAAUCAUCAUGCCCCUUAUGAUUUGGGCUACACACGUGCUACAAUGGACAAUACAAAGGGCAGCGAAACCGCGAGGUCAAGCAAAUCCCAUAAAGUUGUUCUCAGUUCGGAUUGUAGUCUGCAACUCGACUACAUGAAGCUGGAAUCGCUAGUAAUCGUAGAUCAGCAUGCUACGGUGAAUACGUUCCCGGGUCU